GUUAUAUGUACAGUCUAUCUAUGGUGUUGGCAGAGUUGACACGUGACUAAAUUAUAUUCACCAAGCACUUCUACCAGCGCCAUACUUCUACUGCCUGAUUGGUCUACUGCGCAAGUGCGCCCUUGGAUUUCAGAUGUUUUGGUCGUCGAGAUGGUAAGUGUCAACUUCCUUAGGUAACAUUGUCUUUUUUUUAGAAAGCAUUCCUUAUUACUUGCAUGUGAACCAAUAUUGCUAUCUCACUUUUAUUUUCAGCAUCGACAUGGCAUUUUUGCUCAGGUGCAUUCAGUAACCCGCCCCUCAUCUGACAACGGGAGCAGUGCCGUUGGUCCCGUGCAUUGUACCCGCGCAAAGUCACGGAGAGAGAUUAAUGAGGCAGUAGAAGGAGGCGAUACCAUACAAGAAAGUGCUGGUAACGUGGAAAGUAGUAUGCCUGUCAAGCAGCAUAUUGCAUGGAGAAAGAAGGCUGAGAUGCUCCAGUCUCGGGUGGAUGAACUAGAGGAGGAAAAUGGCAUACUCAAGCAGCAGCUUGAGGACAAUAACUCUAUACAAGAGCAAGAUGGGAACUGGGAAGUAAUGGCCACUGGAGAUAAGGAGCCGGAGCCCAUGAGGUUGGACUCCAGCACGGAUUCCAGCAACGAUUCCAGCACUGACUCCAGCACUGACUCAAGCUCUACCUCUGACUCUUCUGA